CACGUAGGCGGCUUUGCAAGUCGAAUGUGAAAUCCCUCGGCUCAACCAAGGAAGUGCAUCCGAAACUGCAGAGCUUGAGUACCAAAGAGGAUCGCGGAAUUCCCGGUGUAGAGGUGAAAUUCGUAGAUAUCGGGAGGAACACCAGUGGCGAAGGCGGCGAUCUGGGUGGAUACUGACGCUGAGGUGCGAAAGCGUGGGAGCAAACA
rnacentral:rRNA from 1 species